UGUCAUUAGUGCUAUGUGUAAUUGUGCUAUGUCAGGAACUGGGGGGUUGGGGUGGAGCUCUCCCUUUGACAUAUGGGCACAAUUUCUUUUUUUUGUUAGAACUAUGGAUGGUGUAGCCUGGGGUACUGUGAUAUUUUAAGUUGAUCAUUGCCUUUUCUGCUGUACGAUAUGACCCUUCUCAUCUCUCUCGUUCAUUUUGCAUGCCUCUGCUCCCUUCUGUACAGCCACAGUUGAGGCAAUUGAGGCUGAAAAAGCAAUACGAGGAUUCUCUCCACCACAUAGAAUCUGCAGUUUUGAAGAAGCAAAAGGUUUGGAUAGGAUCAAUGAGAGAAUGCCACCCCGGAAAGACGCUGGGCAGCAAGAUGGUUUCAAUUCUCUGAACACCGCACAUGCCACUGAGAACCACGGGACUGGCAACCACGGUGCCCAGUGACCCACGACUUCCCGGGGACUCUCGCAUCCCGGGCCCCAGAUGGACAGGACACCCAAGGAGCCAGAGGGAUCAGCUAAGCUGACUGUAACUGUCACCGGUCCCUUUGGAGAAACCAUUGUGCUUUUGAGACCCCGAUUCCCUCCCCAGAAGGAGGCUUGAGGGCCCUGGGACCUGCUAUGCUAUUGAUGAGGUUGCAUUGCUAGCAGCCGAGCCAAGGUGGGGAGUAGAAAGCAAGGGGUCUGGGGGCUGUUUUCUCUGGAGAGCAUCUUGACCUCCAUUUAUGCUUGUGAUUCACACAUUUAAGUUUACAAAUGAAAAUUCCUCCCUCCUCCCUUCCCCAUAGAACUAGAUUUUUUUUCCAAUCAAGACUUCAGACACAAUUCUAAAUGCUAUUUAUUCAUGGAUUUUGGUUUCAUAAAAUGUCUUUAAAGGUUAUAUUAGAAUGGUCUUAAAAUACAAUUCUGAGGUUACAAAACUGUAUUUUUGAAUCAUGGGGAAAAUACCAAAAAACCCAGUUGACAAAUAUUCAAAGUGCUAACCUCAGGUCUACAGUCUUCACUAGUUCUGUAUUAUAGUUUAGUUUUUGAUUAUGGAUGCAUACUCUCUCUCGAGGCAGAACUUUGUUAUUUGAUCACAGAUCCCAAAACUCAAUUUGAAUCUUUUUUGCCCAAAUCUUGAGAUUUGUACCCUUGGGAUUUAAGAAGAAAACUUCUAAAUUUCAAAAGUACAUACAGUUACAGAAUUGCUCAUUUAAGAUAUCUUUAAAAAAGCUUGUACGUUGUCAAAGUAAAUUUUACUUCAGAUCAUGUCUGUAAAACUUGACAUUGUAUUUUGUGUAUGCAUGUUUUCAUUUUGCAAAUAUUUAAUAUAUAGACCUAUGAUGUACAGGUACGACAUGUAUAGGUUGCCUAGAUGUUAUGGGGACUUUAGUUUAUUGUGAGUAUUCAAAUUACUUCAAUAGCCAACAGGGCUGUUGGCUUUCUAUAAUUUUUAUGAAUUCUUAUAAAGGAAAUGGAAAAUGUCCUGGAAGUGUUUUUGUUUAUACAAAUGCUGCAUAGAAGCUAUGGUUCAGCUCAACCAUUCAGACAUUCGUGGAAGCGUAAAGUUAAAAGCGUAAAGUUAAAACUGCAUGUUGAAGUUUUUAUUUUGAUAGUUACAGGACUGCUUGGUUAAAAAUAAAUGGAACCAUGUGCUAGUUUUUCACAAUUAUUGGUCUGUCUAGAUUGCCGCUCUAGCUGGUAUCUCCCUUUACUUUGGUGACCUCAUGCCCUGGAACACAACUCAGAACUCCAGGCAGCGGAGCCAUCUCUUGUUUUGUUUGCCAGAAAGUGCACCCUGUAUGGUCUCCUGUCUAAGUUGGAAAUAUUAUGCAUGUGCAGGACUAUUUGAAUAUUUUAUAAACAGUAGCACACAAUAAAUUCCAUGCAUGGGCCGCUGCUCCUA